rnacentral:rRNA from 1 species
UACAGAGGUCCCGAGCGUUGUUCGAAUUCAUUGGGCGUAAAGGGUGCGUAGGCGGCUUUCUAAGUCUGAUGUGAAAUCCUGGGGCUCAACCCUGGAACUGCAUUGGAUACUGGGAGGCUAGAGUACUGGAGAGGAAACUGGAAUUUACGGUGUAGCAGUGAAAUGCGUAGAGAUCGUAAGGAAGACCAGUGGCGAAGGCGAGUUUCUGGACAGUUACUGACGCUGAGGCGCGAAAGCGUGGGGAGCAAACAGG